UACGUAGGGGGCAAGCGUUGUCCGGAUUUAUUGGGCGUAAAGAGCGUGUAGGCGGCCAGGUAGGUCUGCUGUGAAAACUCGAGGCUUAACCUCGAGAUGUCGGCGGAAACCAUCUGGCUAGAGUCCGGAAGAGGAGAGUGGAAUUCCAGGUGUAGCGGUGAAAUGCGUAGAUAUCUGGAGGAACACCGGUGGCGAAGGCGACAUCCUGGACCGGUAUUGACGCUGAGGCGCGAAAGCCAGGGGAGCAAACGGG
rnacentral:rRNA from 1 species